rnacentral:rRNA from 1 species
AUUGAACGCUGGCGGCAUGCUUUACACAUGCAAGUCGAACGGGGUGGCGGGGCAACCUGCCAUUCAGUGGCGAACGGGUGAGUAAUGCAUCGGAACGUGUCCCGCAGUGGGGGAUAACGCCGCGAAAGCGGCGCUAAUACCGCAUACGCUCUGUGGAGGAAAGCAGGGGAUCCGCGAGGACCUUGCGCUAUGGGGGCGGCCGAUGUCCGAUUAGCUUGUUGGUGGGGUAACGGCCCACCAAGGCGACGAUCGGUAGCUGGUCUGAGAGGAUGAUCAGCCACACUGGGACUGAGACACGGCCCAGACUCCUACGGGUGGCAG